rnacentral:rRNA from 1 species
GAUGAACGCUAGCUAUAGGCUUAACACAUGCAAGUCGAGGGACCGGCGCACGGGUGAGUAACGCGUAUCCAACCUACCCAUAACUAAGGGAUAACCCAGCGAAAGUUGGACUAAUACCUUAUGAUUAUGGAUGGGGGUGCGUCUGAUUAGCUUGUUGUCGGGGUAACGGCCCACCAAGGCAACGAUCAGUAGGUGUUCUGAGAGGAAGGUCCCCCACAUUGUAACGGAGACACGGUCCAAACUCCUACGGGAGGCAGCAGUGUGGAAUACUGGGCAAUGGACCCAAGUCUGACCCAGCCAAGUAGCGUGCAGGAUGACGGCCUAUGGGUUGUAAACUGCUUUUAUAUGGGGAUAGGUACCAUAUGAAUAAGCACCGGCUAAUUCCGUGCCAGCAGCCGCGGUAAUUC